CCUACGGGAGGCAUCAUUAUUUAAUAUUUCUCCCUUUUUUCACCCCUUCAUCAUCAACUCCUCUUUUAUUAUUAAUUUUUUCUUAUUUUAAACUCCUUUUUUUAUAUAAUAUAAUUACUUUAUCUAACUAAUAAGCACCGGCUAACUCCGUGCCAGCAGCCGCGGUAAUACUUAGGGUGCAAGCUUUACUCGUAAUCACUUUGCUUAAAGAUCUCGUAUUCUGUAUAGCAAGUCAUAUUUUAAAUCCUAUUUCUUAACCAUAGAACUGCAUUGUAAACUGUUAUUCUAUAUUAUGGGAGAGGUAG
rnacentral:rRNA from 1 species